UACAGAGGUCUCAAGCGUUGUUCGGAUUCAUUGGGCGUAAAGGGCGCGUAGGCGGUCACGCGCGUCCGUUGUGAAAUCGCUCGGCUCAACUGGGCGAGGUCAGCGGAUACGGCGUGGCUGGAGCAAGCUAGGGGGCAAUGGAAUUCCCGGUGUAGUGGUGGAAUGCGUAGAUAUCGGGAGGAACACCAGUGGCGAAGGCGGUUGCCUGGAGCUUUGCUGACGCUGAUGCGCGAAAGCGUGGGGAGCGAGCCGG
rnacentral:rRNA from 1 species